UACGUAGGGUGCAAGCGUUAAUCGGAAUUACUGGGCGUAAAGCGUGCGCAGGCGGUUAUGUAAGACAGGUGUGAAAUCCCAGGGCUUAACCUUGGAACUGCAUUUGUGACUGCAUAGCUAGAGGACGGUAGAGGGGGAUGGAAUUCCGCGUGUAGCAGUGAAAUGCGUAGAUAUGCGGAGGAACACCGAUGGCGAAGGCGAUCCCCUGGACCUGUACUGACGCUCAUGCACGAAAGCGUGGGGAGCAAACAGG
rnacentral:rRNA from 1 species